AUGAGGAGGUUCUCCCCAAUAGCAAAAUUUAUUUCAAAGAUUUGCUUCUUCCCAGCCUACAACUUGGAAGUGAUGGCUGGAGCUCCAGAAGCUGUUUGAGACCAUAUGGUUACCUUGAGGAUGGAGCCCUAUGCAACAGAGAAAGAGCAAAGCCUGGAUCCUUCUUGUCACUGUGGAGCAACCACACCAGCCUGAGAGUGCUUACCUCUGGACAUCUUUGAGAUUUUUUUUUUCUUGAUGUGAGAAAAAAAAUAAACUUCCAUACUGUUAAGC